rnacentral:rRNA from 1 species
GGCCUACGGGAGGCAGCAGUGGGGAAUAUUGGACAAUGGGCGCAAGCCUGAUCCAGCCAUGCCGCGUGAGUGAUGAAGGCCCUAGGGUUGUAAAGCUCUUUUGUGCGGGAAGAUAAUGACGGUACCGCAAGAAUAAUCCCCGGCUAACUUCGUGCCAGCAGCCGCGGUAAUACGACGGGGGCUAGCGUUGCUCGGAAUCACUGGGCGUAAAGGGUGCGUAGGCGGGUCUUUAAGUCAGGGGUGAAAUCCUGGAGCUCAACUCCAGAACUGCCUUUGAUACUGAAGAUCUUGAGUUCGGGAGAGGUGAGUGGAACUGCGAGUGUAGAGGUGAAAUUCGUAGAUAUUCGCAAGAACACCAGUGGCGAAGGCGGCUCACUGGCCCGAUACUGACGCUGAGGCACGAAAGCGUGGGGAGCAAACAGGAUUAGAUACCCUGGUAGUCUA